UUCUCUGCCUUUGCCAAUGCUGAUUGGAAGAAGGUUUCGUGUGUGGAGGGGCGGCGUUUGCUGUGGGAGAGCGGACGGCGGACGGUUCCCCUGCUUCCCGCCUGUCUGCUUCAGCUGUUUUUCUUGCUGGUGCGCAUUCCCCCCCCCGCUUUGCUUUGAGGGGGAGGGAUUGACGAUAUCUUUAUUUACAUAAAGAAGUCUGAUGCAAGUCACCUUUAACUCUGGCAAGUUGAAUCCAAGGGCAAGAGCUCUGAAGAGAAGGGGUGGGUCUUUCUCACCCCUUCUGAUCAUCCCAGGUGCACACCACUGGAUCUACAAGAAGGAAACAACCUGCUGGUGUAAAAACGUCUUCUACUGAGAGUUACAGGCAACAGAUUCAUUUCUAGGAGAAAGAUCUGCAGCUGCUACACAGUGCAACUCAAAAAAAAGUUACCAGCAGAUUUCCUAUAUCUGAAUGAUUUCUGUAUGAUUCUUUGCAUAUGUCAAAGGGUUUCAAGUAUUUGGGGUGCUUCCAGAGAAAAGGAUUUCAGCAUUACCCAUCAAAAGAUAUUGUGCAGCAAUUCAAUCUUUCUUCUUUUAGUGGUGAGAAAAAAGACAGAAAAUGAUGAGAAAACAUAAGAAGAUAACAGAGGAAAGAUUUCAUUUGCUUCUCUCUCUUCUGCUCCUCACGUAUAAUCAGCGAGAUGCUCACCCUGACUCACUUCGAAGCUUCCUUUAUUGAAGCAAGGAUAAAUGCAAAAGUUACAAAAAGAAAUAAAAUGAUGA